GGUCGAGUCGUAUAACGGUUAGUACAGUCGCUUCACAAAUUAGCUAAUUUGCGGAGCGCGCGACAGACCCGGGUUCGACUCCCGGCUCGACUA
rnacentral:tRNA from 1 species